CAUUAGUGCUAUGUGGCUGGAUUGCUGAAAUUCAGUUGUACCUGUGACACAUGCGGAGACAAAGGAAGAGGAAGUCAGCAUCUCAUCAUAUUCAUAAUCAAACACUAGAAAACACUGAAACACACGGAGAGCUUCAGAAGAACUGAACACUGAAUACAGAACAGACACUGAUACAACAGAAAGGCUGAAUCUACUAACAACAGAGAAGAUCAUUUAAUAAGAGAAGAAUGAAGAUCAUCUGGACUUUCACUCUGAUGAUGAUUCCUGGUGUUGUGAGCUCCAUGAGUGUGACCGGAUAUUCAGGAGGAGGAGUCAACAUCACAUGCAAAUAUGAUGAAAAA